CUCGGUUCAGCACCUGAGAAAAUGCAGUUGCCCUGCAGGACAUUCAUGUCGUGUGGGGCUGCAGAGUGCUGGAACUUGGUCUUCUGCAAAGGCUCUCUUGUCGUGGGUUUCUACCCAAAUCGGUAUUUUCCAGGCGUUCCAGGACUGCGGCUGAGAGGGGCUGGAGCCAGUCCACAGCCCAGAGCAGGAUCACCUGUUCCCCAUUGCACAGGGACUCAAUCUGCUGGGAGGGAUGGAUCCAUCAACAGAUAACUGCAUAGCCAUGUUGUAGAAACAGUGCCAGAAAUGUGUGCAGGGAGUGAAGGAAGCACCGAGGAGGAAGCCGACCCAGCCAGGUGAGGCGGGGAUGCUGAUGGAAGGAGGCUUUCAAGAGGGGGGUGUGAUGUUUGAGCCAAGUCUCAAAAGAGGAGUAAAAGUAAGUCAGAUGGAGGUGGAGGAGGAGGCUGGCAGAAAAGAAGGCAUCCCCUGCACAAGAGCGAAGGCCGAGGAGAGACUCCGCCUGGCGCCUGCGGAGUUAGGCACUAGUGCUGCUGGAACCACUGUGUUCCUGGUGGGAAUGAGGAAGCUGUCAUGGGCCAAGAGGGAGUGGCGUGGUUUGACUGCACGACUUGGCUGCAGAGGUAAGAGUUGAGAAUAGCCCCCUAGGAGAGUGGGAGAUGGUGUGGACCAGCGAUGAGGAAAAGAUUCAGUCCUGCAGAGGGCCCCAGAGGGGCUGGAGACCAUGAUAUUUUAGUGGAAUUCGCCCAUGUGGUUACCAGAUUUUCUCCAGAAAUACUUAGCUACCAGUGUAUGGCAGGAAAGAAGGACAUUGGUCCAGAAUUAGGGUUUCCUUGUGAAAAUGAAGGCAGGCAUCUGAAUUUGGAGCCCCAGAUCUUAGACCAGGUUUACUCAGGUAGAACCAGGCACACAAUUCAAAUCUGCUUUCGGUUCAGAUGGAGGGGAAGAUGCAGGACCCGGGGGAGGAGGG
rnacentral:lncRNA from 1 species